GCCAGCCGCGAUAGCACGUUCAUUACGCCAGUUGUCGAUCACUGAAGUUAAGCAACGUUGUGCGUGGUCCGAAUGGUAUCUGGAUGGGUGACCAUCUGGACAGUCGCGUGAUCCUGUCU
rnacentral:rRNA from 1 species